GAGGGUAUAGCUCAAGUGGUAGAGUGCUUGCUUAGCAUGCGUGAGGUCCUGGGUUCAAUCCCCAGUCCCUCCU
rnacentral:tRNA from 1 species